UACGUAGGGGGCAAGCGUUGUCCGGAUUCAUUGGGCGUAAAGAGCGUGUAGGCGGCCUGGAAGGUCAGCUGUGAAAACUCGAGCUCAACCUCGAGACGCCGAUGGAACCCCCGAACUAGAGUCCGGAAGAGGAGAAUGGAAUUCCUGGGUGUAGCGGUGAAAUGCGCAGAUAUCAGGAGGAACACCGGUGGCGAAGGCGGGUCUCUGGGCCGAUACUGACGCUGAGGAGCGAAAGCGUGGGGAGCGAACGGG
rnacentral:rRNA from 1 species